AAAAAAUUAGUUAAUUUAUAACAUUAGCUUGUCAAGCUAAAAUUAUCAAUUAUUUGAUAUUUUUUA
rnacentral:tRNA from 1 species